rnacentral:rRNA from 1 species
ACUCAAAUGAAUAGACGGGGGCCCGCACAAGCAGCGGAGCGUGUGGUUUAAUUCGAUGCAACGCGAAGAACCUUACCGGGGUUUGACAUGUGCAGGAAAUCCCCAGAGAUGGGGCCCUCCUUCGGGACCUGUGCACAGGUGCUGCAUGGCUGUCGUCAGCUCGUGCCGUGAGGUGUUGGGUUAAGUCCCGCAACGAGCGCAACCCUCGUCGCUAGUUGCUUUUUCUAGCGAGACUGCUGCGCAAAACGCAGAGGAAGGUGGGGAUGACGUCAAGUCCUCAUGGCCUUUAUGCCCCGGGCUACACACACGCUACAAUGGGCGGUACAGACGGUUGCAAAGCCGCGAGGUGGAGCUAAUCCGACAAAACCGUCCUCAGUUCAGAUUGCAGGCUGAAACUCGCCUGCAUGAAGGCGGAGUUGCUAGUAACCGCAGGUCAGCACACUGCGGUGAAUACGUUCCCGGGCCUUGUACACACCGCCCGU